UCUUAAUUUUCAUUCUUUUUUUUGCAUCUUUUAUUGUCAUUGUAUUAUACAUAGUUUGUUUAGUUCGUAAUUUUCUUUUGUUUUGUUCCUUCAGAUUCUAAUUAUUUGUUUAUCGUCAACAAGCUAAUAAUAUGUGUUUGUUUGUGUACGGACUAAGCUAAUGUAACUAAUGGAUGCGUAGCAUAACAAAAAGAAGAAGAAGAGAAGUCUAAUAUUGGUAUUUCAAAGAAAACGUUAUGAAAGGUUGGUUACUAAAGAAGAGUCCCAAAUACAAAAAAGACCGAACGGAAGAAACAAAGAUGAUGAAGAACCCGAGAGGGAGAGAAAUCGGAGGAAGAGGUGCAAGAGGCAGCCAGUGUUUUUCGAGAUUGACAGUAGUAAGACAAACUUUACGGCGAAGGAGGCUUGACAAUGGUGAAGAGGCAAGCUAAACUGAUUUAGAUUUUGUUUUUAGGUUAUUUGGUUAAUUUAUUUCCUUACAAAAAAAAAUUUAUUAACCAAAAUUGUAUUUAUAUAUAGGCGUCAAAAUAAAUUGUUUAUAUA